AUCAACCCCGUGCGCCAAACUGUCGACUCUAACAGACCGAAACGGUUCCCUGUGAGUAGGCUCCUUAAUUGGGGCUGAAAGCGAUUACGCAUCAACCACAUGCAUACGGGACGUCGGUCAAGGUUACUGUGAACAAACCAGCGUGUCCAAAACCGGCUUUCGCCUGAAUGUUCGAGCAUGGAAUAACAGGGGAUCGAUUCUCUCGGUUCUUUUUGUUGUUUUUAACCCGAAAAGGAGUAAUUCAGGCCACGGUGUCUGAGUUGGGUUCCCCUUCACCUCGGUGGAGGCCCCAAUUAGGCCGUGUCCUUACGGGAUAAAUAGGGACUGACGGGGUCGUACGUACUUCUACGUCAGAGGUGAAAUUCGUAGAUCGUAGAAAGAUGAACUUCUGCGAAAGCAUUCGACAAGAAUGUCUUCAUUAAUCAAGAACGAAAGUGUGGGGAUCGAAGAUGAUCAGAUACCGUCGUAGUCCACUACUGUAAACAAUGCCGUCUCAGGAUUGAGAAGCGAACAGAAUG
rnacentral:rRNA from 1 species